rnacentral:lncRNA from 1 species
UAGAGGUGCGUUGGAUGUGGUUAUUCCUGUAGCAGAUCCAUGAUGGCUCCUGCAAUACAGCACACGAGAUUUAUCUGAGAUAAUAUAAGUCUCAAAGAGGUGUAAUCUUAGAAGGUGUGUGAAAAUGGAGGAUGGCAAGUGCUAACUACAUAGUUAAUCUUCCUACAGAUUAUGUGCUCUGCAGGAAGCAUAAAAUGAAGACAAUGCAAAGGCCUCUCCCAUAAGCAAGCCUGGGUACAACGAGCCUAAGCCAGUACCAACACCCCAAUCCUCAGCUCGUCAUUAUUUCACCAUGGAGUUCUGGAUCCUAAUCUGCCCAGCUGCCAUGGAUUCCACAGGAGAUUCUUAUCAGGAUGAGAAAAGCAGUGAGCUUUCAGCCUGUCACUCUAUUAUAUACAACCAGAAGCCUGCUCAGGAACGAAGAUUACUCUGGGUAGCAGAAUGAAACUCCAUUAAAAACAGGAUUGAAAGGCUGGGUCUUACAGAGGAGAUCAGAUCAUGAGGACUCUCCCCUCAUGAAUGAAUGAAAGAAUGGAUUAAUGAAUUAAUGGGUUAUCAUAGAAGGGAAACUGGUGGCUUCACAACAAGAUGAGAGAUCUGACCUCGAAUAUUUGCCUGCUCAGCCUCAUUGCCAUGUGAUGCCAUGUCCUGUGCCACCUCUGGACUCUGCAGGGAGUCCCCACCAGCAAGAAGGCUCUCACCAGACAUAGCUCCUCGACCUUGGAUUUCUCAGCCUCCAGAACGGCUCUACAGAUUGAUUUUAAAGCCACCUACACUGCAGUUUCUUCAAUUUAGCUCUACUUAUCUGAUUAUGCAUCACAAAAGGAAGCAGAAAUUCAGCUUAAUUGUGAAGCCAUUGCAGCAGAACCAAGCAAAUGAUAGAAAACCUCAUGAUCACAGACAGAAUCACACUCACUGAUGCUGAAUGAAAUGACAGACAUCCGUCCCUCUGCAGAAGCCUGAAUACUGAUCACAGAAUUUUACGUUCUGACAUUGUGUGUCUCUUGUCAGAUAGUGUUGUCCUUUACUUUCCCCGCUUCAGUUGUGAAAGUCAGGUGCAGUCUCAUACUAUUUUUUUUUAAAAUUCAUUAUGACAAGUAAAUGGUCUCUGGGAAAGCGAACAUCCUCAUCCACUGUUUACUGAAACUGUAACACUGUCAUGAGUGAAGAAUGAAACAUGUUUAAUGUAAAGAGUUUGCAGAAUGAUGAUCAGAGGAAAAGAACAUUAAACAGAAGAAACAUAAAUAUAAGAAUGGGGAGAGAGAUGUAAUCAAAAGACAGCUUGUAAGGGAGGUUACAUGCUGCCAUUUGCUUUUCAGCUGUGUUUUCCAUAGUGGGACAGAUCUUGCUCUUUGUUACUUCUACUUUUGCUUUUUCCCAUCUGCAAAGAGGGAAACAAUCUGCUUUUGAAUCUCUGGUGAAGCAUCACCUAGAAGCUGCUGCCAAAGCUUGAUAUCCAGAGUGCUCUAAAACAUAGUGUGAUGUGCCCUUUCAUCUUAAAGGAUUAUUUUUGGCUGGGCAGACCUCUCUAAGAUAGAUUAUAAGGAGCUGGCUUUUAAAGGCAAUGAAAACUGCUUCUGUAUUCACAUUUACCCCCUCCCUCCAUUAUCUGAGGUAUGUAAAUAAUGUUUUAAAGUGGUGAUGUGAGAAUAUUAAUUAUGUUUUCAUUUCUUGUUCCUGUUACCAUGUAAUAUAUCUUCAAGUGCUGAGAAAACAUCUUACAAAACCAUUAAAGAUUCCAAAUGUUCAUACAUAAAUGGGUGUUAAAAGCGGAUGCCUGAGUUACAUACAAUUAAUGAUACACAGACACGUAUCAUACAUACAUGGACAUGUACCACUGGAAAAAUCAAGUCUACAAAGAAUAAAAAUAUUUCUGUCAGUGAGUAAAAGGCUAAUAAUGUAAUGAUAUCCAAAGGAAAUGCAGGGACACAUAUGGAUGAGCUCGGAUUCCACAUAUUGGGUGACUAAGAAUGAAUUAGCAUAAAUUAUAAAUUUGUUCCAAUUAUAGAAGGUAAUUAUCGGAGACCAGCUUACAGCAUUAUCAAAAUUAAAACAGCAAAGUGCAUCUGUAUUCCAAGUAGAUGCCAUUGAGUUAAUCGUCCUGAAAAAAAAACCAAAAAGACUCUACACUUAUUCAUCUUCUAUUCCUUUGAUUACUAGACACUCUAUCCAAGUUUCCCCUCAGCUGACAGACACAAAGUCACCAUGAAGGAAGAAAAACAUUUUGAAA